GUGGGCUAAUCAGGAACUCUGAAAGCAGGUUGGAUUCAAGGAUCAGGCUGUGGUAUGACUGUGUCUUAGUUGCUAGCCUAUUGGAUUUCCAGACAUUGAAUAGGCUGACCUCCCUCUGAGAUUUUAAGGAAGUGUUAUUUCCAGAGACUCAGCAAGCCCUGCAAACAGGCUUGUGAUUGAUUGCUCAACCCCUGAGGCUGUCCCCAGGCCCCGUCAAAACCUCUACCAGAAGUUCUCCAGCAGCUCUUCCUGAACUUUAUGGGUAAGUUCAAGGCAAAGGUUCCAGGAAGUCAUAUUUUAGCCCGCCUCUGGCCCAAGCCCCAGUGCAGCAUGAUCAGUAGUGAGCCGAACACUGCAUUUUCAUCUCCAUCUGGCUUGUGUGUCGAACACACAAUUGAUUCUGAAUCUGGAAAGGAAGAACGCUGAGCAGUUCAGGAGAGGAUGAGUUGCAGGAAUGGGAUAAGCUCAUGACUGGAAAGGAUCCAGGAUAAGUCAUGUUGGGAGUUUAAGCUUCAACAUUUGAAUUGGUAGAAGGAGAAGACACAAUUCAGUACAUUAAGACAUCCUGACAUGGGACUUUCCAGGAGGGAGACAUCAAUUCCAAGAUGCUUCCGCAGGGACUCUCCAUCACAAGCGUGAGAGCUGCUUAACCUGAGUCAAGAGAAGGAUGGAUGAUAGAAUCUGCUGAGAGACUUUUAGAAAUGGAAAGAAAAGCUACAGCAGAUGCAGCUGAGACAACAUGAAGAGCUGUCUUUCCUGAAUCCCAAACAGCAGCAGAUAAAAAGCAGAGAGUAAACGAAAAGGUCAUCUCACACUCGUGGCCUUCUGAGUUUGGGGUUUUCCUUUUUCCUUUGGCCACUACCUUGCCAGUCAUUUCCAUGUUGUUUUUCUUGUUUAAUCAAGAAAAACAGGCAAGACAAAAGGGAUUAUUUUCCAGAAGCUCUGCUUGUUUAGCGUCAUAGGAAUUUGAGGUUGUUAUCUAGUAUAUUUGGGAUGAUUCUUCAGGGGUAACAGCGAAGUCUACAGUGUUUAUGAAUUUAUUUCCUAGUGUGAUAUUUCCACCACCUUUUACUCUUCCAGAUGGGUUUCAACUGCAUCUGUUUGCUUUUCCUGUUGCUUGUGAAAGUACACCUCGUGAUCACUAUCCACAGCUGCUUUGUAUGAGCCUCAGAGAAUUCUAUGAGCAGGGAAAUUUUAAAACAUACGAGACCAGAGUUUUUCAUAAAGUCUUAUUAAUCAUAUUUUGAAAGGGAUAAACGUCUUGCCAAAUUUGUCUGAAUUUCUGGUCAAGUAAAAGGCAGGUCUUCAAACCAUCAGACAAAAUGUAUUCAGUUUAUAUCUAGUGUGUCCAGAACUACACCCAGCUACCACAUGGGAUGUGGCACUUUUAAAAUACAAGACAUGGUCCUUGCUCUCCUACAUGGUUUAAAGUUUAACUGAAACAAUUUAGAGAGCAAUGAAAAGGUAAAGCAGGAGGAAGAGAGGUCUCAGGAGGAACAGAAAUGCCAGCAAGACCUUGAACUAUUUAGGAUUCGUGGAGAGGUAGAGAGAGGGGACUCCAGUCCAGGAAUAGCAAGAUUAAAGAUAUACAGGAGGGUUGCUUUGAGAAUUUUCAGGAACACUGAGUAAGCCUGUGAGGAAGCAAGCAGAGAAAGCCAAUUAACAUGUUCAAAAAGUUUCGGUUAUUUCAUUUCAGUUAUUUCCAGGAAGGGGACAUUUUUAUGCUCAUUAGAGAAUUAAAUGCUUUGAUUAAUUGGGUUUUUAUCCCCAUUUAAGUUCUAUUUCCUUUAAUGCACCAUAUUUUUAUUUUUUUGUAGUAAACUAAAUACAGGACCUGAAAUAGUGCUUCUUCACAACCAAAGUAUGACCUCUUCCCUGAAGAAACCACGUGUUAGCAGCACAUGUUCCUCCUACCACCAGCCCACCCUACUGCCAGCCUGGUGAUAGUUGGGGGUGGAGGGAAUAACAGCAUGAAUGCCUUAGGACUGGGCUUGAAUCUUCUGUUUUGGGGGUUUGGUGGGACUUGUUUGUUGGUAUUUAUACAGUGUUAUACAGAUAACAUUCUAUUAAUUACUUAAGUUCAAUUCCCCUGGAAAUGGAAAUGAUAUCAGAAACCCAUACCUGGAGAGAAAGAAUAAUUAUUUUGUUUGGCUUUGGUAACAUCCAUGAAAGAAUCUCCUUCUUUCUCAAAGCAGUAUAUCUCAGAGGAGGCAGCCUAUGUUUCUGUGUUCAAUUAAUAUCCAGUAGAUUACUGUGAAACUCUUGGUUCUGCUGUUUAAUUUUAAAAUUCCCCUUCAAUUUUCCUCCUUCAAUUGAACUGAUGUUCAGGUAAAGCUAUGAAACAAUCCAAAGACAAAUAAAAGGAAAGACAAACAGCAGUAAGUACCAUUUGGUGGUAUCUUUCCCAUGUCAGAUCUCUGCCAAGUGCUUUACCUGCAUUGUCUUAUUUCAUCUUUCCCACCAUCCUAUGAGAUUGGCAUUAUAAUCCCCAUUCUAUAAACAGGGAAACUGACAGGGUGGGUUGUUUCCAAAAGUCCCAUUCUAGCGAGUGAUAGAGCUAGGAUUCAAGGCCUAGCUCCAAGAGGAGCCUGGUGUGCUGCAGUCUAUGGAUUCAUGGCCUUAACCACCAUGCAAAUUUUAAUAUGGAAUGUGGAAAAAGUGAAAGGGAAGAAGGGCUACAGAAGAGAACUGAAAGAUGAUACUGGGUGUCAAAAUGACUGAUCAUUCUGAAGCAAGAAGGUAAUUGAGGAAGUACUAGGAUUAAAAACUUUAAGACUAAUGAGAGAUACAGAACUGAUGAGCAAUACCCGGAUAGUUAAUGUUUAGCCUCAUCUAUAAACACUCUGAACUGCUAAAAUGCAAAUUGAAACCACAGUGAGAUACCACCUCACACCUGUCAAAAUGGCUAUUAUCAAAAAUACCACAAAAAACAAGUGUUGCCAAGGAUGUAGAGAAAAGGAAAGCCUGUUAGUGGGAAUGUAAAUUGGUACAGUUACUAAGGAAAAUGGUUUCCUUAGUAUGGAGUUUACUCAAAAAAUUAAAAAUAGAACUACCAUACAACUUAGCAGUUUCACUCCUGAGUAUUCAUCCAAAGAAAGAGAAAAUAGUAACUUGAAAAGAUAUAAACACCCCUAUGUUUAUUGCAACAUUAUUUACAAUAGCAAGACAUGGAAAUAAUCCAGGUAUCAACUGAGGGAUAAAUGAAUAAGGAAAAUAUGGCAUAUCCAUAUGGUGGAAUAUUAUUCGGCCAUAAAAAGGAGUGAAAUCUUGCCAUUUGCAACAACAUGGAUUGAUACUAACAGUAUUAUGCUAAGUGAAAUAUGCCAAACAGAGAAAGACAAAUACUGUAUCAACUCACUAAUAUGUGGAAUCUAACAAACCUGAACUCAUAGAAACAGAGAGCACACUGGUGCCUGCCAGAAGCAAUCUAGGGUGGGAGAAGUGGGUGAAGAAAGUCAAAAGGUACAAACUUAAAGUUACAAAACAAUUAAGUCAUGGGUAUAUAUAAUGUGCGUAUGGUAAUUGUAGUUAAUAAUUGUAUAUUUUAAAGUUGCUAAGAAAAUAGAUCUUAAAAGCUCUCAUAAAAAGAAAAAAAAUGUAAUUAUGUGAGAUGAGGAUGCGACAGAGAAUGAGACGGUUAGAUAGCAUCACCAACUCAAUGGACUUGAAUCUAAGCAAACUCGGGGAAUAGUAGAGGAUGGAGGAGCCUGGUGUGCUGCAAUCUAUAGAAUUGCAAAGAGUUGGACACAACUUAGCAACUAAACAACAGCAACGUAAGGUGACAUGCUAACCAGACUUAUUGUGGAGAUCAUUAUACAUGUGGCAAUGCAUACAAAUAUUGAAUCUUUGUAAAACUAAUAUAUGAAUUACAUCUCAAUAAAAAA
ensembl:lncRNA